rnacentral:lncRNA from 1 species
UUAUUUUUUGGCUGCUGCAGUUCAUUGGAAAUCCCGGUUUGUUCUCUUGAUCAUGGUUAGCUAACAAUUAUCGCAAUUCUAUUUUUUGUCAACCGAUAUUUUCAUUGGUUAACUAAAUAGGAAAAUAUAUCAAAUCAAGAAUAUUGAAACAAAUACUAGCAACAAAGACCCACUAUACUUACCAUGCUCACUGAAACAAGGGAUGAACUGGAAAAGAAAUUACAUAUACAACAAUCUUCAAACACUAGAAGACCUGAAAUCCAACUAAUAAAAGACCUAAAAUCAUUUUAAAUUGACACGGCUGAUCUGGCGCGAGGGGAAAAAUAACCUCUUCUUCGGCUACCCCAAACUGAAACUGAUCCAAAAACCCCCAACGAAAACAAGCAGAUGGACGACGUCGAGAGCCAGGCACCCCAUGGAGACCGGGAGAUCAAGGCCGCUAGACACUACCCGUUUUGGCUCAUCAUGGUGGUCGGGCUGGUCGUCAUCGGCACAGUGAUGGCUUUAGGCGGUUUCCUCCAAUACGGGUACUAUGGUAUCAAUGCCCGUUACACCGUCGCGGUAGAUUCUGUCUCCGGCACCGACCCCAAGACAUGCCUCUCGUUCAACCUCACCCUCGGCAUCGCCUCCCAAAAUUACGGGUCAGAGGCAUGCAUUAACCCCGGCAGAUACAUGGAGGUGACCUACCGGGGCGCCCACCUGGCCGUCAGCGUGCCCGAAACACGACCGCUCUGCGCUAAGCCAAGGAAGGCAGUGGAGCAGCAUGUCCUCGCAAUGGCCACCACGGUUCCCGUAGGGAACGUGUUGGACGGUCUUGUGGCCGACAUGAAGAGAGGGGUGGCAGUGUUCGACGUCACAUUGCACCUACCAGUCGGAUCUUAUGGCAGGGCCAACGCAUGGGUGCCAGGCUGCAAGGGUAUGCGGGUCGGGCAGGGCGCUGUGACGUGUGAAUCCCCCGACCAAUAGUUGUCUGCUUAGCUAGAAUAGUUGGUAGUUGAUACAAGAAUUUUGUUUUACCGUAUACUUAGUCUGACUAGUAUAUAUGGACGAUCUAGUUAUCAACUCAUCGAUCAGUAUGUUGUCAAAAAAGUGUAAACCUCUUUGCUUUCUUUCUUGGAACAAUCCGUUGCACGAAGUACAUGUUCCGACCGUGGUUAGCAGGGUUUGUAAGGUCUGUUUGUUCUAUCGAUUGUGGUUACCAGACGAUUAUCACAAUUCUAUUUUUUGUCAAGCGAUAUUUUUAUUGGUUAUAACUAAAUAGUAAAAUACAUCAAAGCAUGUACAUUGAAACAAAUACUAGCAACAAAGACCUAUGAUAUGUACUUACCAUACUCACUGAAACAAUGGAUGAGCGGGAAAAAAGUUAUGUAUACGUUUAAAUACUAGAAGACCUAGAGAUUCGGGGCUUCAAAUUCAGCAAAAAAGAACAGAACCAGACUCAAAUGUGUGUCUGAAUUAUUCAUUAGUGGCUCAAGAAGAUGGAUGAGAAUCUUAUUCGGCAUCUGUUCUUUCCACAUGAUGUGGACGAAAUUUUGAAGUUGCGUGUUCUGACUGUCGGUGAGGGAGAUUUCAUUGCUUGGCACUACGAAAAAAAUGGUUUAUUCUCAGUUAAAAGUGCGUAUAAGUUGGCGCUCAAACUUAAGGACUCUAUGAUUGAGUUAGGGAGUUCAAGUGGUGCUGCUAAUGGGGAAAGGAGGCUAUGGAAUAUUAUUUGGAAGGCUCAGGUCCCUCAGAAAAUCAGAAUUUUUGCAUGGCGUGCUGCGACACAAAGUUUGGCGGUUCAAGUUAACAGAGUUAAACACCACCAAACUACCAUUGGUCUGUGCUCGAUUUGUGGCGUAGAAGAUGAAUCUGUAUUUCAUGCACUGGUAAGCUGUCCUAAGGCUCGUGCGUUACGUUUGGUGGUAAGGGAGGUAUGGAAUUUACCAGAUGAAGUGGUUUUCAAUUUUACGGGGCUGGAUUGGUUACUUGUCUUAUUGGAUCAAGUAAGGCCGCCGGUGCGUGAGAAAAUUAUAUUCAUGUUUUGGAGGGCUUGGCAUCUGAGGAAUGAUUUGAUUUUUGGUAAGGGAAAGGAAAAAAUCUCUGACUCGGUGAGGUUCAUUCAAAAUUACUGGACGUCCUUCUCGUCCUGUCAUCCCAAUGUCAAGAUGGAGAUUAGCAUCAAAGGUAAAGAGAGGGUGGAUGGCUUAAAUUUUACUAAUGAUAUGCGAAAGAAUCUUGUGACUUGGCAGGCUCCCGCUACGGAGAUCAUUAAGAUUAAUGUUGAUGCAAGUUAUGUGGAGGCUUUAAGGGCUGCAAGUGUGGGCGUCGUGGCCAAGAACCAUACUGGAAAAGUUAUCAUAUCGUCCUGGGAUUAUAUUGGGGUGUGCAAUAGCGCGGAAGAAGCGGAACUGAGAGCGACCCUUGCGGGGCUAUACAUUGGUAUUACUCUCCACAAGGCCAUCAUUUUAGAAACGGAUUGUUCUUUUGUGGCUUCUUUUCUUCGAAAUGAUCUUCUAGACAGGUCUCCUCUGGUGGAUCUAAAGAUAGAAGCUUUGAGUUUAGCCAAAAUGAUGAUAAAUUGCAAGAUAUCCAAGAUUAACAAAACGGCUAAUAGGGUGGCGCACGAGAUUGCGAAGUUCAGCUUUGAUAACAGGUCCGAUGGUGUGCUCCUUAAUAGUGUUCCGCCCUGCGUGGCUGAUUUUGUAACGGAUGAUUGUAUGAAUAUUUUAAGUUAAUUAAUAUAUGGGAGGGGUUUUCAAAAAAAAAAAUACUAGAAGACCUAAAAUCCAACUAAAAAGACCUAAAAUCCUUUUAACUGGACACUGCUGAUCUGGUGCGAGGGGAACAAGUGAACAACAACUCGAGCAUUGUAUUCUGACCAACUAAAUUUAGUCCAAGCAUAAAUGCCACGCGGUACAACUAUUUCGGAGAUCGUCAACAGUGGCUCCAACACGCAUAUACCCCCACAAGAUGACCACCAUGUCAUCGACGUAAUAGCUAUUGGACAGCCUUACAGUCACUUCGAACAUACGUGUCAGGCUACGCCCGUGCCAGUAUGACGGCUCGGGGAGACAGUGCGGAGGGUAAGGUUGAAUGAUGGGUCUAGAGCCGGUAGCCCAAGGUCUGUGGUAGGGUCCAGGCCGGAGAUGGAAUCGAUCCCAAGUUCCCAAUCGAGUGUGAACUGAGUGUGGCUCGUAUGUUUAGGUUUUUUGUGGGGCAACCAACCAGGGUUCAAGUCUUAGACUUGGCAUUGGUGGGUUUUUUUUUUGAUUUAUUUCAGGUCUUCUGUGAUGACUUCGUUAAUCUAAGAUCAUGUGUUGGCUCGUUAUCUCAAAGGUGCUCAUAAGGUAUUGUGUGUGCGUGCCUUUAUAAGAAUGAGUGUAUGCUCAUAUGUAUGAGCGUCUGCGUCUAUACUGUGUUAAAAAAUAUCUCAACCGAGUACUCUGGGUUCGUCUGGUUUGUUAGUUGCUACUACUUGUUAACUAGAAUCGUAUAACCGUAGGAUUGCCUAAGUAGUACGCAAGUCUCCGGCCGAAAAGAUUUCUUUUCGGGUGAACAGAGAAAUUAGAUGGCCAGUUAACAUCCUUUCCGAUAACAACACCAUCUGCUAUAUAAAUUCCAGCCCCAGCCCGAGACCCCAACUCAAACACAAACACAAAUCAAUCCAUCGAUCUAACAACAACGGCGUACGUCCAUGGCUGCCACCGUCAACCGCGGCGGCGCUCCAGACUACGACAGCCCAGGCUUCAUCUUAUGCACACUAUUGGCCGUUGCCGCUGCGAUUCUACUCGCCGCCGGUCUAGGCUGCUUGCUCUACUACGGGCCUGCCUAUCCUUACUACUACGUCGCCAUCGACUCCGCCUCGGGCCUCCUCGACGGCCCGCGCGCCGGACCUCACCCUGAAUCCGGUGUUCAACCUCACCGUCCGCAUCACCUCGGCUAGCCCCGGUCAGGGCGUGUGCAUCGAGGCCGGCACGUACGUGGAGGUGUCCUACCGCUGCGUCAUGCUGGCCGCUAGCACCGCCACGUCGGAGACUCUCUGCACCGAGCCGGCCAAGUCAAGGGAGGUGCCCUUCAUCGCCAGGGGCGUCGGCGUGCGCGUGCCGGGGUACAUGAUCGACAACCUCGCCGGCGAUGUGCGCAACGGGGUGCAUGUGUUCGACGUCACGAUCAAACAGUCCGACGCCUUCUACGUCAAUCGUAAGGUGAAGUCGUGCGGGGGCAGGCGGGUCGGCGGGCACACUGCCGAUGAGUUGGAGAUCGCAUGCGAUGGUGUGUGGUUGUGCCCUGACCCGGACCACAGAAGGAUGCCUUCGCUCAACUCGCCCACAAAACACAUCUCUGCUCAAUCAAUUUUUAUGUAAAUCAAGACCAAGGAUGCCGUGUCCUGACUCCAAAGUCAAAAUCCCUUUGCUCAAGAUCAGCCGUUCAAGAUGCGUUACAGAUUUAUUAGAGUUAGAUUGAAACGUCGUUAUACAUAUCUUUUUAAUUUUGGCUGUCAAUACUCAAGUGUGGCUGUGCCUCACAUCCUUUGUUUCAAUCGAUCUCAUUUUAAUUUUAGUUACUCCUACUUAGUUUGCUUGAUGCCUCACAUGCGUUAGAUUGGUGCGCCACGUACUUCCUCCAUUUCAAAAUAAGUGUCGUGGUUUUCGUAUAAACAUGGCAUUUAUUUUGGAACAGGAGAGGUACUAGUUUUUAACUACACAUGAGUUCUGGAACUAUAGGAACUAGAAGAUUCCCUGCGCAUUGGUGCAACACUUCAUGUCUUUCACAAAAAGCUUUGAACAAACACUUUCCAAGAAAAAGAAGGAAAAAGGAAAAGUGGCAUUGACUGCAAGUAAAGUUCGUUACAUUCUUACAAAGAAUUAGUAUCCAGACAUGUGAUAGCUAAGAGCAUCUCCAACAGCCGCCGAUUUUGCGACGCGCUAAAAAUCAGUUUGCAGCGCGCCGAGAGCCUGCUUUGGCGCGGCGGGGAGCGCUGGCUCCAGCGGCCGCGGUAAAUUUAGCGCGCGCACAUAGCUCCAGCAGGUGCGCUAAAAUGCAGCGUGCGCGCUCUCGCACAAUACAUAGAUAUUUCUCACAAUACAUAGAUAGAUUACGAUACAUAGAUAAUUCACAAUACAUAGAUAAAACGAUGCAUCACAUAGAUAGAUAAAAGAACUACGGUGCAACUAGAUAAAAAAGACUACGGUGCAACUAGAUAACCACUACGGUGCAACUAGAACCUACUCCGAGUCAUCCUCAUCAUCAUCGUCCUCGGUGAUGUUGUCCGAGGUAUCGAGCCAAAUGUCACUCAACGCACAUCGGCCGAUGAGUUGAAGAUUGCAUGCGAUGGGGUGUGGUUGUGCCCUGACCCGGACCACAGAAGGAUCCCUUCGCUCAACUCGCCCACAAAACACUUCUCUGCUCAAUCAAUUCUUAUGUAAAUCAAGACCAAGGAUGCCGUGUCCUGCCUCCUAAGUCAAAAUCCCUUUGCUCAAGAUCAGCCCUCAAGAUGCGUUACAGAUUCACUAGAGUUAGAUUAAACGGUGUUAUACAUAUAUCUAUAAUUUCGAUUGUCAAGUAUGGGACGCGUCUCACAUCCUUUGCUUCAAUCCAUCUAAUUAUAAUUUUAGUUACUCUACUUAGUUUGAUCCAUGCCUCGUAUACGUUAGAUUGAGGUGCCAUGUACUCCCUCCGUUCUAAAAUAAGUCUUGUGGUUUUAGUUCAAAUACGACAUUUAUUUUGGAACGGAGAAGGUAGUUUUUAACUACACAUGAGUUCUGGAACUAUAGGAACUAGAAGAUUUCCCGCUCGCGCGUUGCUGCAACACUUCAUGUCUUAAAUAAAAAGCUUUGAACUAACACUCUCCAAGAAAAAAAGAAGGGAAAAUUAGAAGUGGCAUUGACUGCAAGUAAAGUAUAUGUUACGUUUUUACAAAGAAUUAGUAUGCAGACCUGUGAUGGCUAAUUGGUUACUUAUUGAAGGUCAAGCUGAAUAUCCAUCAAUAAUAACAUUGGCUUUCUGAUUUGCGAAAGUAUAAGGAAUUCUGGAUUAGGGAAUUAAGAGAACCAUGGAUUAUGAAACCAUAUGUACCUUGCCAACUUGAACAUGAUAUAGGAGUCCAGCUUACAAAAUGCGAUUAGUUCCCACAUGCUUUUAGCAGCGAGUGAUGGCUCGAUAUGUGGCUAAUAGUAUUGGAGGACAUGAGUGAACUAAUGAGACGUCAUCUGCUCAGUUUGGUGGAGGAAAACAAAAGGGUUAUAGAACAACAAACACAUGAAAUUGGUAACUGACCAUUAGGUGCAGCUUAAGACAAAACGGAGAGUUGAUGAAUACUACCUCCGUCUCAUAAUGUAAGACGUUUUAUGACACUAGUGUAGUUUUAAGAAAUGUCUUACAUUAUGGGACGAAGGGGGCGGCACCAGUGUGGGGUCAUGUAGGGGCGGCCGCCCCGGGUAAAUUUUCGAAACCUAGGGUAGCCAUGGGAGGCGACAGGUGAGCAGAUUUCGUCGGAGGCGAGGUCGAGCGACGAGCAAGAAGAAGAAGAAGAAGAGAAGAGAAGAGAAAAGAAACGGUUCGCUACUGGAUCGAUUUGGACUAGCACAUCGGCCAGGUAACGAUUCGCUAGCGAUGGGCCAGUAAAGUAAGGCCCAACAAAAGAUGAGAUUAGCCCAUUGUGUUUUGUAUACACUGGCCUCCUGGCCCUUGACGUUGCCAAUUCCCCUAUCGAUCGUGAAACCGAUCAGCGCCACGCGAAUCUCCAUGGCCGCCUCGUCGCCUUGACGCGGCGCCCUGCACUGCCGCCUUGACGCGGCGCUGCCGAAGUCCGUCCAACCGAACCAAGGGUGCUGGAUGAAGAAGGACACCGUCCGCACGGCUGGCACCGUGCCCACCACGACUACCACGCGCCCCGCUGAAACGAACAGCCAGCAGAGCAAGGAAUAGGUUUUUUCGCUCUGCCCUAAUCUUCUCCUCUUUUGUAUUGUCAUCCUUUAAUUUUAUUUUGUAUAGAGAAUGAAACUAAUUUAAGCAAUUCAUUGUGCUGAUCGUCCUAUUCAAAUGCAUACCAAUUGGACAAUUAAUUUUGCUGAAUGUACUACCCAGCAAAAAAAAAAUUGUUGAUUAUAUUAUUUGAUUGUAUCAUGGCUUCUGUUUUUCGUUUCCUAAAGUCUGCCCCGGGUAACUUCAAAUCCUAGAUCCGCCAAAGGGAGUAGUUUACUACACGUCUAUGCAUGUGCAGUUUUAUGGAAGUUGUGCACCUGAAUAUGAGCAAACAAUGACUAAUGUAGGAAAAAGGUACAGCUGAAAACUUUGAAAUAGAACCUGGAUGAAGUAUGUUCUUUUUUGCACUAUGGGCAUGGUAGUAUGGGACUAGGAUUUAGGUCACACAAGUGUUGGGGCACUCAGGUCUAUGGUGUCGGCUUUUUUAUUUUGGCUUCCGAUUUUCAAAGUUCUAUAUUUUUUAAACUAAAAAUCCAAAUUAAGUUAUGUUUGCAUAUUCGUGUUUCUUGUGACCAGCGCUUUCAAAUAAGAUUCACUUCAAAUAUAUUUUGAUGACUUUCAAAAAAGGUGUUAAGUUUCAAUAUUGAGACUUAGUACGAGCGAGUGAUAAAAAUCAAUUAUUUUGUGUCUAUGACUUACAGGAAACAUUGCUUAAAAUUCUAUCUCUAGAACUAGUUGAAAUAUUGCAGUUUUAGAUGCAAAAAUCGUAAGUUUCAUCAUUGAAACUUAAAACUUAUUGUGCCCUCGUGCUGGAUGCAACUACUGCAUGAAUAGCAAGGCAAAUCAAGGGGUGCACAAUAACAGUAGAAGGGAGGUGGACUCCCUAAUUAUCCUCACUCCACAGGAGAUUUGGCCAGAGAGGAAUAGAUGUGUGUUCGACAAGGCAGUAAUGAUUCCCACACUUGUAAUCAGUAGGGUUAAGGCAAACUUCGACAACUACAAAAGCGAGAGAGAUAGUCUACGCAUGUGGGUCUUUCAGCGAUGACUGCGUGUGAUCAGAACCAUUGUGGGUAACAACUCCCCUCCAUCUUAAUACAUAAAACACAAAAAACUCAUAAAAUAUUCAAAACUCUUGCGGUGUUCUUGAAUAGAAAGUGAAUUUAUUCGAUUGGAGAUAUACAAGACCCUAAAAGGGAUAUGUUCCCUUCAUCAACGUGGCGGCAACUCCAGUCGACUCAACCUUGACAUCUCCAUCAUUGAUUCACAUGAGCUCUUAAUCUCAUUCUACGUCAAUUUCUUUAUCUCCAUCAGACAGGAGCGCGUCAGUGUUGCACUAUUUAAGGCUGUUGUUUCCAGUCAUCGCCGUCGGACCACCUCAGAUGAGCGGGCACUUGAUUUAAAUAUUAGCAUCACUGGUAUUUAAUUAUGUACAAUUUUUUAUGAACCUACUGUAUUUGAAUUUUUUAAUAAUAAGUAACCCAUGGUUUAUACUAAUUUUUUUAACAUUUUAAUUAUAUAAUAAUAAUGAUGUAAUGAUUAUAUUAUCCAAAUUUACCAUUGCCAGUGGAAAAUACACUUGCAUUAAAUUUAUAACAUAUAUUAAAAGGAAAUAAAAAGUAUUUUUUUUCAUGUCUGAGACAACGCAUUUGUUUACAAUUAUAGGUUAACAAUCAUAACUUGAGCACUUAGCCCUAGCUCUUGAUACAUUUUUGUAAUGUUAUAUUUUCUGUCUGUCUACUAAUAUUUACCCACCUCAAUCGUAUGAUAAAUUUGGAAUAGGGAUUUGUCAAAUCAAUAUUAGUUGGUUGAAAAUUCAAGCAAAAAUUAUUCAAUAUCAAUGAAAAAAAUGCAUGCCUUUGUAAUUAAUUAUGCCGGAUAGAUGAAUGUCAAGUAUAUAGAUGUGUUUGCAUUUAUUUUACUUUCGCAAAUAUCAUGGUAGAGAGCUCUACGACUGGUAGAGCUUUCUAUGUUAUUGUAGGUGUGAUAGAUGAUAAUUAGCAACGCAAUUAAAUUGGACCUUCGAGAACACAUAAGAUAUAUCACCAAAGGGUUUGCCCUCGAACAGCCACGUUGCUCCCAAAUGGAUUUUCAUGACCAAUUUUUUUCCAUUCUUUUGAGACAAACUCACAAGGUUUAUUACGUCCUCACAAUGUUUACAAGGACGAAGAGAAGAUUUUCAAAUUAAUCUAACCAAACAUGUCAGCCAACCCACAUAAUAAGACCAUGCUUUACGAGAUUGUGAGCCUCAAUAUUUAAGGUUCUAAACUAAUGGCUAAAAGUACAUGAAAUAAAACCUGAUGACCUUUCCCUAAUUUCACUAACCACUGCUCCAUAUAAUGUCUUCCGCUAGGGCUAUCAUGGAAGUGAGUCUGACAGUAAGAGUAGGGGGUACGUAGGAGGAGGCAAGGUCCUAGCUAUGGUGAGGUUGUACACGCAAGUUUACGAGUUCACGCCCCUCUCGGAGGAGGUAACAGCCCUACGUCUCGGUGCCCGGAGGCUUGUCGACUGGAUUAUGCGUGGAAGUUCCAGGGGGUGCGAACCCUUGUGCCUGAGGAGGGGGUGGCUUAUAUAGAGUGUGCCAGGACCCUCGCAACCCUCAGUUAAACAGGGUUCAAUGUGAGUUAAGACAGGGGCGUUACUGGUAAUGCUAGCUAUUAGUGAUCUUUAUGACUACGGAGUGAACGCCUGACCGUUGCCAUCCUGGGGUGGCUUUAGACCUUCUGUACUCCGAGUGAUUCUUCAUAUGGUCGAGUGACUAUAUCAUGGUCGAGUGGAAUUGGGGUAUCCGAGUGGAAUCUUCUGUCGAGUGGAUUGCACUUCAAGGUGAUUUCAGUCGGUACCCUCUGUUGGACUUUGAAUGUCUUUGACUCUAGGGCAGUGUCCUUGGGUAGGGUGUCUAGGUGAGGCCUAAGACCCUACCCUAGGUACGUGUCAUCGUCAAGGGCCAUUGCCUCCUUGGUUGCUCGAGGCUCGAGGGUAGCAGGACCAUCAACACAAUUGAUGUGCCCAAAAAAGUACCACCAUGGUCAUGGCAAAUCGCUCCCACAGCUUUGAAUCCACCAUUCCUCAACACUCAUGCAUCACCAUUUAAUCUUAACAUGGUCCGCCGGAGGAGGGAUCCACUAACUUGUUCUAGAUACUAGGGCUGGCGGUCUAGACGUCGCUUGCUGCCAGGAAUGAUAACACAAAGCUAUGGGUAGACAAAGGACUCUGGAAGAUAUCCUCGUGAAUAGCUUUUCUGCGAGAGCUCCAUAUCACCGACAGCGUACAAUCAUCCUUGUAAACUAGAUGAUACCACACGCCGUUGCUACGGGAAUUUGUAGUGAUGUACAAGAGAGGGUUUGUGGGGUGGGUAAAUAGUGAAACCACGAAAUGAAAUAUAUAAAUGCAUGUCUAUUUGAACCUUUGAUAGAAUAUUGUGGUUGAUAAGUGCAUUGGUAAUGUACUGAUAUAUUGCAAAAUAUCGUUGAUUGUAUUAAGCUCAACUAAUGAUAAAUAUUCAUAUAUUUGUACCUUGGUAGUUCUUUAUUGAGUAAGAACUUGUGCCAAAAAAUCAAGAUUGCCACCUUAAUCACUGUUUAUUGUUGGAGAAGUGAACAUCAUUGGCUGCACCGUGCUAACAAUUCAGUCAAGCUCCCACUCUUCCAUUGCUUAUGUACACCGCAACAUCCUAUGGAUAUCAAUCACAGUCAAGUUCAUAAUUAGGGGAAAAAACAUUACUACCCGAUUUAUUGAACUCUGAUAUGCUUAAAUAAAAUAAUAAUGUAUACAUGUAUACCAUAAGAAGGUUAUCCUGUAACAUAGUAGGGUAACAUAAUAAUUGAGUAGCAACUGAGACCUACGUCGGGCGGCAUAAAUAUUUACCUAUAUCAUCAUGUCUCACUUCUCUAAUAGAAGCCAAAUCUCACAGAAAAUCUCAUCAAAUGCAGCCGGAGAUACAUUGAGAAAUGUGUCAAUGUCUCUGUGGUGAACCUCUCAAUUUAUUGUUGUCUGGUGCAACGUGUUUUCCAUAUAAAUGAUGAAAAUAGAGCAUCUUCAAGACACACUUCAGAUGUGAUGCAGGCGCUAUGAUAGUCUUUCCCAUACUGCAUUAAGUAGCAAGCUUGAAAUGAAUAUAUUCCCAACUAUCUCAGAUAAAUUUGCUGGAACAUAUCAUCUUUGAAACAUGAAAGCCACAUAGGAAUGAGUGCAGUAUAUAUAAUACAACCACAAUGCCUUCAUAUCAAAACUGCAAAAACAAUUGGAAAAUAAAUGUUCUCAUACCACAUUGAGUGAAUGGUCCAAGGUACAUGCAACAUAUUGUGCAAAUCCAAAGAAAUAUAUAAAACUGGAAGACAAUGAUCAGAUGAUAUCAGAAGGAAGCACCGUAUACAGAUUGAAAGAGCAAUAUAAAGUCUAUGCUUUUACAUAUUUACAUGCAGAGGACAAAUGUAUAUAUAACAAACCAGUAGAUCAUCAAUGGAUAGCAACACAAAAGGCAUCGAAUAAAUGGUGAGAAAUCAACGGACAAAUUAACGGUGAGAGAAAUGAUCUGGUGCGCAGGCGCGAGAGGAUCUGCAGGCUGAUUUCAUCAAGCGAAGGUGAGUGAAUAUUUCUCACGAAGGUCAUUGAUUUGCUAAGAGCAACUCCACUCAUUCGCCCCCCCCCCCCAGCGAAGCGGCCGGCGAUUUCGCCCCAUCGACGGCGCUUAUUAGGCCCUGGGGGCAAUCUAGGUCCAGCCACGCCCCCAGAUAGGGAUGGCAACGGGGCCCCAUACCCGCCAAACCCGUGGGGAUUUCAUCUAUUAGGGGUGGGGAUGGGCGAAAAACAUCCCCAUGGGGAUAUUUACCAAACUAAUUUAGUCCCCACAGGGUACAACGGAGAUGGGGACAAUAUCCUAUUCCCCAGACCCAAUACCCAUCGGGGCCCCGGUUAGUAACCGUGACACUGUCAACAUUAAAAUAUUCACAAACAAUCUUGUGAAAACAAAAAAAGCUCUGAAAAAAACCUUAAACCUAUCUCACAUCCUCACCUCAGCUGCCACCAUGACCAAGAAGUCAGUAUGACCUAGAUGGCAUUAGCAGGACAAGGACAACACCAUGUAUGUAUAUUGAUCAUAGGGUGUCAUAUUAUGUAUAUGAGUAUUUGUUUAUGGGGAUGGGGACCCUAAUGGGGCCCCGUUCCCCAGUGGGGCAUGGGUAUGGGGAAAUUUCAUCCCCAGUCAUGGAAACAGGGAUGGGGAUGGGAUGAUAUGGAAUACAUGGGGAUGGGGAUGUCAUCGUGGUGUGUCGGCAUCUCUCCUUCUAGAUCGGGUUGUGGUCCUCGGGCGAAAUUGCACCAAAUCCACCAAACUCUUCCUCCUCCUCCCGCCGUCCUCCAACCUUUCCGGCGCCUGAGCCCUUGACGUCCGCCACCCUUGCCCCCAUAUUCUCCACCUGUCCUGAUCCGCCACCGUAGAUGUCGUCCAGCCCGACCUCGACCGCCGCGAUGAAGACGCAGUCCGCCUCUUCCAUCGCCGUCUCUUCCUCGGGUCCAUCCUGCAAGGCGGAGAAUGUCGCCCAGAAAAUAUGACGGUGCCGACAUCGAGAGGGAGGUGGCGGCGGCGGCGGCAUCGCAGGGAGGUCCAGACAUGGUCGAGGAGAUGUCUCCCCCGCCGUGUACGGCACCCCACACCCCUUGCAUCUGAGCACCGACGAGGAUUGUGCCAUCCGACGCCAUUGGGACAGAGGAGGGUUCGACGCCGGCUGGGCCAUUCCGGACAGCUUUCCGCCAACGCAGAACUCGACGAUGGACGAAUCUGACUCGCCGCAGCUCGUUCGGGCGCGGGUGAGCACUGGCAUGGCCGGCGCUUGGGCUGCGCUCGACAAGUUCGAUGGAAUGACCGAACAAGAGACCAUACGUUUUCUUUGCUCAUGUCUGAUCAAAUAUGAGCAUCGACCAUAGUCCAUUUCGCACAUGAUGAAUGCUUGCAAACCAUGAUCAUAUAGAAGGUGUUCAUAUUGAACAUGAUCAAUGACAAUGAAGAUCCGACAAAAAUGGAGUAUGAAUUUGAGGGCACCACCAUAUCUGAAGUUGGGACAACAUUCCAUCACAAUCCGAGUAAGAAGAAGAAGACCAAGAACAUAGCGAAGACAAGAGGUCCGACACUCUCAAGAUAUGAGGACAUCUUGUUGGUCAACGCAUUUUAAGGUUUAUAAAAUUAAAAAACUAUUUAGGAUAAAUGCAAAUAAAUGUAGUAUAGAUGAUGGACGUAAAUGAAAUGCGUGUAUAGGUGAUAUCUUACUUGCAUUCUUCCGAGUUUAUAUGAAUUUUCAAAGUAAUGGUCAAAUGACUUUCACCAGACAAAAGGCAUUCUAACGAUUGGGGAGAAGAUUUGGAAGGAGUAUCAUGAACAAAAGGAGUAUGUGGAGCCGCAUACUAUCGCGGCCACCCACGAUGUGGCAUCUCUCCAACAUCGAUGCGGGGUCAUUCAAGGUGAAAUGAACAAGUACGUCGGCUACUACUCACAAGUUAUCAAACGCCCUCAAAGUGGGAUGGGAGUGGCAACUCACGUAAGUUUAAUUGCUUCAUCGUGUCGUCAUUUGCAUAUGCUUCUUGUGUUUGCAUUCUCGUGCUCAUACAUAUAUUGUUUGCUAGAUGGCGGUGGCGGCCACUAUGUAUCAUGAGUUUGGAAAGAAGCCGUUUGAUUUUAGCCAUUGUUGGAUCUUAUUGAAUGGCAAGCCGAAGUGGAACUAAGUUGCACCCAACCUCAAGGCCGGCAAGAAGAGGAAUGAUGGCUCAAACUCCCACCAAUCAAUUGGGUUGGACGACGAAGAGGACGAUGUUGUCGUCACGAACGGAAGAAGCACCGUUCCAAAGGAUAACCGACGAGCAUGGAAAAUAAACGGGAGAAGGCACGGGCCUCUCGUGACGCCACGACUACAAAAAUGCCGUCCACAUGGACGGGCAUGUUUCGGUAAGGAAGACCAAGAAACAGGAUAAGCACAAGCUCAUGAUGGGUGCGCAAAAGGAGAGGAUGGAGUGGGACCGGAAGAGGGCAGAGAAGAAGCUCCAAAUUGGAUUCAAGAAGAUCAAGUUGGAGAAGCAACAAGCGGCGAUUAAAUGGGAACUCGAGAAGGCCAAGACAUUUGGUGACAUUGAGCUUGAGAAGGAGAUGUUGCAACUUGCAUAGGACGCGGAGGACGCGAGGAUCAUGUUGGCGGACAAAACCCGCUUUGAUGAGCACGCAAAGAAGUGGCUUGCGGACAACAGGAAGGAGAUCAACGACCGUAGGGAGUAAGAGGCGACGUGGGCAGAUGUGGCCAGGAUGUAGGCGGAGGAGGCAGCCCGGAUGCAGGCGGAGCAGGCAGCCUGGAUGCAGGUGGAGAAGGACGAGCAGGACGCAUUCCGUUCGGAGCAGGCGCCCAGCCAGUGAUCCGAAGCCAUCCGUCACGCUCGGACAUUAAUUUCAUUUUGGCUUGUCUGGUUUGUUGAACUAUGAUUUGCUUUCGUUUGUUUUGAAUUGUUGAAUUCGGACAAUUUGUAUCGUAUGAUCGACGUGCAUGGGUUGCAUGGAUUUGAAGAUCCGAAUUUGAAGUAUGUGAAUGUGGGGCGCAACAUAUGAGGAGCCGGCGGGCAUGCCCGGACGCGCUCACGGAUGUAUAGGGGGGCCGAUUUGUCAAGUCCGGCUAUAGAUGCCCUGAGAUGAUAUAGCGACAUGAUCUGGGCGGUGAGGGUGUCGACGCACGUAGUCUUUGAGAAGGUCCAGAACGCAUUGCUACGCGGGGCACAGCACCCCUGGUGAACCGCUGGCGACCCACAUAUCCAUGGCUCGAUUUCGAUCCCCUAGUACUCCCUUUUUUCUUCUUUUUUAUGAGAAAUUUUUCAUUCAAAUCAUAAAUCAGUACAAAGUAGUUGAUUCUUACAAGCACACUGAAACGCAAACACAAAGGACCAUGAACACCUAGAGUACCCUAAGACAAGCAUAACACAAUAAGAUCUCCGGAGCCCUGUGUCAUCAUCCCUGGAUCUUGAGAGAAGACCCCUGCAGCAGAAGGAUCUGCAACUAGUCGCAAACAGGUCAUCAUCUUCGACCACGGUACAAUUACCGUCACGGUGCUUCCUCCUUUCUUGACACCAGCGCUGAGAGGGCGUGGACAUCAAUCCAACACACCUGCAACAGCCAUCGCCAUCUUUUGCUUUGAGUACCGCGAAAAGUGUCCCUUCUGGAAGGAAGAGAACUCGAGUCAUCCGACCGGUCCAGCACCGCGGCCGGGCCAUCCGCCCGGACAAAGCAGGAUCUCCCACCAGCAUCAGCGCAGAGGAAGGAGAAGAACAACAGCAGCAAAUCAUACCAACAAAGAGGAAGAAAGGUCUUCGUCUCCCUGCCUCCAUCGCCCAUCUGAGGAUCCAAACGGCCAGUGCCGAUGGACCUCCAACCACCAUAGCCCGUGCCCUCGACGAGAUCCGGGGAUCCCCAACACCGCUGGCUCCUAGACGAAGGCAAAAGCCUCGCCUGACCGCGAACGGAGCCCGGAGAAACUUAUUCCGACGCGACACCACCGCAACGACCUCGGCAGCGUCUCCCUCAACCCUAAUCCUACCACACACCCACCUAGCGAACAGAGCCGAGGUUCCCUCUCCCUCCCGCCGCCGGAGCGGCCGACGGAGAGAGAGGGAACCGGCGGCGUCACCGGCGGCGCGCAAGGGAUCCCCCGCCUCCUUGAUCGCCUAGAUCCUACUUUUCCGGGCGCGGCACAAAACUAUUUUUCUGAUAUAUAAAUUCGAUAUGUCUACUAAUGUCGGCUGUGGUUGUAUUUAUUUGUCCGAACGCACCGGCCUCACAACCGAAGUUUGUGCCACGCACGAGCAGGUUGGUAGUCUAGCUAGUAAAUUUUUUUUAGGGGCGUCUAGCAAGUAUUCUGUGAAUGGAUUCUGGUGGCAGAGAGAUAGUUUCCUUUGGGAGACCUGCGUACGCACGUACUAAUUGGGUACAUAUAUACAAUUCUGGGUUCCCAAAGGAUAGCCGCUAGCGAUACAAUUUAAACUAAUCCAAACUAGUUUCCGAACUAAUAAUGAUUUACUCCAAUUUAAACUAAUCCAAACUAAUUUCCUUCCCAAGACGUAUCCUUUUCUCCAUAUAUAUAUAUAUAAGUAGAAACCUCUUCUGCGGCUACGCCAAACUCAAACUGAUCGAAACCCCCAACGAUAACCGCAGGUACAAGCAGAUGGACGACAUCGAGAGCCAGACACCCCAUGGAGAUCGGGAGAUCAAGGCCGCCAGACACUGCCCAUGUUGGCUCAUCAUGGUGGUCGCGAUGGUCGUCGGUACCUUCAUCACUGCAGCCGUUUUCAUCCUCUACUGCAUGAUCCUAGCCCAUUACACCGUCGCGGUAGAUUCUGUCUCCGCCACCGACCCGAAGAAGGGCCUCUCGUUCAACCUCACCCUCAGUGUCGCCUCCCAAAGUUACGGGUCAGAGGCGUGCAUUAUCCCCGGCACAUACAUGGAGGUGACCUACCGUGGUGUCCAGAUCGCCGCCAGCGCGCCCGAAACACGGCGGAUUUGCGCUAAGCCACGGAAGGCGGUGGAGCAGCAUGUCCUCACAAUAGCCACCACAAUUCCCGUAGGGAAAGUGUUGGACAGUCUUGAGGCGGAAAUGAAGGGAGGGGUGGCGAUGUUCGACAUCACAUUGCACCUACCAGCAGGGUCGUAUGACAUGAUGAAUGCAUGGGUGUCAGGCUGCACCGGUAUGCGGGUUGAUCAGGGCGCUGUGGCGUGUGAAUCCCUCUUCUUAGCUAGAAUAGUAAGUUGAUACUAGGUUUUUUUAAGUAUAGUUAAUCUGAGUAGUAUACACGGAUGAUCUAGUUAUCAACUCAUCGAUCAGUGCAUCGCCAAAAGAGUGUACACCUGUCUGCUUUCUUUCUUGGAGCUAUCUGUUGCAUGUCGUACAUCUUUUGAUCGUGGGCCUGUUUGUUCUCUCGAUCGUGGUUAGCUAACAAUUAUCACAAUUCUAUUUUUUGUCAAGCGAUAUUUUCAUUGGUUAACUAAAAAGAAAAUAUAUAUCAAAUCAUGAAUAUUCAAACAAAUGCUAGCAACAAAGACCCACUAUACUUACCAUGCUCAUUGAAACAAGGGAUGAACUGGAACAAAUGUUAAAUAUACAAUAAUGUUUUUAAACACAAGAAGACCUAAAAUCCGGCUAAAAAGGACCUAAAAUCAUUUUAACUAACACGGCUGAUCUGGCGCGAGGGGAACAACAACACGAGCAUUGUAUUCUAAGCAACUGAAUUUAGUCCAAGCAUAAAUGCCAUGUGGUGCACCUAGUUCGGAGAUCGUCGGCAGUGGCUCCAACAUGCCUAUAUCCCCACACGACGACCACCAUGGCAUGCCGUAAUUUCCACCGCACAACCUUAGUCACUUGGAACAUAUGUGUCGGGCUCCGCACGUGCUAGUAUGAUGGCUCACAGAGGCAAUGCGGAGGUUUUUUUUUUUGUUUAGGCAAACUCGCAAACUUUAUUAAUGCGUCACCACAUUUACAGGGAAGAAUAAAAGGUCACCAAGCCGGCCAACCCCUAAAGUAAGUGCAUGAUUAUCAAGAUUGUGGGCAUCAGCAUUGGAGGUUCUAAACUCAUGAAUAAAUGAACAAGAAUUGAAAAAACUAGCUCUAUCUAUUAUUUCAUGUAUCACUGCACCAUACGGUGAUGCGCUUCCCUCCUUGAUUGCUUCAACUGCCACUUUGCAAUCCGAUGCCACUGCGAUCUUGGCUUCGUAUAAGUCAUCCGCCAAUGCUUGCGCUUCUCUGAUUGCCAAUGCUUCGAGAGUUGUUGGGUCACCGAUGUAGCUUAUGCACAUUGCUGAAGCUACGAAAUAUGGACCUGUUUGGUCUCUGCACACAGCAGCUACAGACCCGUGGCCUCAGCCCUUACUACUGCUGCAUCUACAUUGAUCUUCACAUGGCCCUCGAGAGGAGGAAGCCAAUGCCUUGGUCUUGGUGCUGGCGCACGGGCCAUCGAAGUGGUUCCUGGUUUCUGCAAAAGCAUUAUCUCAUCCAAGUAUGAAUUGAUGAAACAAUGUGUUGCAUAUGGAGUCUGGAAAACAUCUUCAUGGAUAACUUUCCGGCGAGCCGCCGAGAUUGCGCAUACGGUAACAAUCGUCCGUGUAUAGUCUUGCAGCUGCAUCGUCUCGUUCAUUGCAAACAGACACCCCUUGGCAUUCGGGUUUUGGUUGGUGCACAUAUGCUCAACUAUGUCAUCGUUAGAUAGAGCCCAGAUGCUUCAUGCGAGUCAUACUACAGCUAAGAAGGCUCAUCAACGACAUGAAGAGAAGUCUCGUCAACGACGACAGCACCCCGGUGAACCAGUCGCGGGCGACCAACAUGUCCAUGACUCGAGCUUGAUCUCUACUAGGAACUUUUCUUUGAUAAAUUCGAUCUCUACUGCUGCAUGAUGGCCAUGGCCCAUACGUCGCUCGUCAUUAUAUGUUGCAGUACUACAAUACAACGCAAAUGCUAGCUACAUGGACUCUGGCAACGGAGAAAAUAUGAACACAUGCACGAGCUAAUUUCCUUCGGGAAACCUUUGCACCGGUUACGAUUCCGGUUUCCCAAAGGAAACUAGCUAGCGAUACAACUAAACCGACCUUUUUCACUCCAUAUAUAUAAGUACUCCAUAUGGAAAGAAAUAUAAGAGCGUUUAGAUCACUAUUUUAGUAACCUAUAAAUGUUCUUAUAUUUUUUUACAGAGGGAGUAUAAAUAAACCUGUUCUGCGCCUACGCCAAACUCAAACUAAUCCAAGACCCAAACGAUAAGCCCAAGAUGGAUGAUGUCGAGAGCCAGAGACCCCAUGGACAUCACGAGGUCAGGGCCGCCAUAGAUUGCCCGUUUUGGUGCGUCUUGGUCUUCUCGGUGCUUUGCCACCGCCAUCUUCGUCGAAUGCAUAACCGUCCUGAUCGAGUACUAUAGGAUGCACAUCCUGUACUCUGUCGCCAUAGAUUCCAUCUCCGGCGCCGACCCCAAGACCGGCCUCUCCUUCAACAUCACCCUCGGUGUCCCCUCGGGGAGCUAUGGAUCAGAGGCGUGCAUCUACCCUGGCACGUACGUGGGGGGCCUAUGGCGGCGGCCGGCUUGCCGCUAGCACGGACGAGACACGGUCGCUCUGCGCUAGGCCACAGAAGUACGCGGAGCAGCACGUACUGGCAAUGGCCACCGCGGUUCCCGUGGGGAACGUGUUGGGCGGUCUCAGGGCGGACAUGAAGAAGGAGUCGGCGGUGUUUGACUUCACAUUGCACGUCCCGGCCGGGUCGUAUGGUGGGGAGUCGGCGUACGUCUGGGUUUCAGACCGCAAGGGCGUGCGGGUCUGUGAGGGAACUGUAAUGUUUGAAUCUCCCGACACUCCCUUCCUGCGGCGAGAGGGGUUGGCAUCGAGAGGCGGCUAGGGAUUCGUCAUCGCAUGCCUAGUCGCCUCUCUUCAGAAAAUGUUUUGUUCUUACACGCUUGAGUGUUGGAUUUAACCAUUAAUCGUGGUUGUUUUAAUAAAUUGGUUAUAGUUAGUUAACAAUUAUUAGCGACUAUAUGUUUACCUAGGGUUCGUUGUGACAACUUUUUUUCAACAAAAUGUGUUCAAGUAUACCGAAUCAAUUAAAUACAACCGAUAAAGUAAGCUGGCAAACAUGAGCAUAGAGACCUAUGAUGAUAAAAACCAAAAGUUACCCAAUAUCUAUGUUAUCAUCUCACUAUCACAGCGCCAGAUCACCAUUCACCAAUGACAAUUUUCAUUUGCAUCCUGAUGUUUUUAUAUGCAUUCGAUGAGAAUAACUCACUAGUAGAAGCUUGUUAGAAGCUCGCGCGAGCCAAAGUUAGGCUCUGGUGGCAGCUAGCUAAUUUCCUUUCGGAGACCUGCGUACGCACGUACGUACUAAUUAGGUACAUAUACCAUUCCGGAUUCCCUAAGGAUACUAACUACGUACCGACACAGUUUAAACUAAUCCAAACAAGUUUCCUAUAAGAGACGUGUGCCUAUCGAUCUUUUUCUCCGCAUAUAAGUAGGCUACGCCAAACUCAUCCAAACCCCCAACGAAAACCACAAGUACAAAGAGAUGGACGACACGGAGAGCCAGACACCCCAUGGAGAUCCGGAGACCAAUGCCGCCAGACGCUACCCGUGUUGGCUCAUCGUGGUGAUGGCGGUGCUCGCCGGUGCCUUCAUCACCUUAGCCUUUUUCAUGCCCAAUCUUAUGAUCCACGCCCGUUAUACCGUGGCGGCAGAUUCUGUCUCCAGCACCGACCCCAGCACAGGCCUCUCGUUCAACCUCACUCUCGGCGUCGCCUCCCAAAGUUACGGGUCAGACGCGUGCAUUAUGCCCCACACAUACAUGGAGGUUACCUACCGUGGCGUCCAGAUCGCGGCCAGCGCGCCCGAGACACGGUUCAUCUGUGUUAAGCCGUGGAAGAAGAAGGAGGAGAAGGUCCUCGCUAUGGCCACCACCGUUCCCGCAGGGAACGUGUUGGACAGUCUUGCGGCCGACAUGAAGAGAGGGGUGGCGGUGUUCGACGUCAAAUUGCACCUACCAGCAGGGGCAUAUGACAUGAUGAUCGCAUGGGUGUCUAGCUGCAAGGGUAUGCGGGUUGGUCAGGGCGCUGUGGCGUGUGAUUACCUCUACUAAUAGUUGUCUGCUUAGCUAGAAUAAUAUUGAUACAAGAUUUGUUUUUCCUGUAUACGUCAUUUUUUAGGGGAACUGUAUACUUAAUCUGAGUAGCAUAUACGGAUGAUGUAGUUAUCAACUCGUCCAUCAGUGCGUUGCCAGAAAAGUGUAAACCUCUUUGCUUUGUUUUUGGAACUAUCGGUUGCAUGUCGUACAUCUUUCAAUCGUGGUUAGAAGAGUUUUUGUAAGUCCUGUUUGUUCUCUCGGUCGUGGUUAGCUUAGUUUCUAAGCCUGUUUGUUCCCUUAUUUUUGCAUGUAAAAACUUGUUUUACUCAACCAAUAUCAGGAUCACAAUCAACUCUGCUAAGAUGAAGCGCUCCUGGUGGACCAGAGCCCAAGCACACUACAAUUCUCUUUUUGGUUCUAGCAAAGUUUGCCAAAUAAUCUGCUACAAAAUUUUGGCUACGAUUAAUACAAGUAAUACAAUCCCUCAAAAAUACAAGUAAUACAAGUUUUACAGAGAUUUAAUCUCUGCCACUAACAAAGCAAACACCGACCGAUAUCAUGGUCAUCAUCCUUUAGUAGAUUAACCACUGAUGUUGAGUCCAUCUCCAGAAGAGAAAGAGUUCUGCAGAACGAGAAAAUUAUAUUUCCUGUGACAUCUCGAAGUAUUAUCCCCGCUCCCACACUUCCAUCAGCCGACCAGGGUCCAUACAUAUUCAGUUUGGCUCAAUUCUGAGGCGGAGCAAUCCACUUACAAGCAUUCUCAUCCUUCUUCAGAGAAGUUUUUAGAGUUUCAAUAGAAGUCAACACAGCAGGCCCGUUUCCUUAGAUUAGAUCGAAGAUAAAAUCCAAUUUAAUGCUCAUCAUAGAAUUUAAGUAGCUUGACAGGAAACUUUUAGAAACUUCAAGGGGCGGGACUGGUUUGAAGUGGACUGCUUCAUUCCUAACUAGGGUUGCAAACGAGUCGAGUUCGAGCGAGUUGGAGUUGGCUCAGCUCAACUCAUAUUAAAAUUCGAGCGAGCUCAAUCUGAGUGAAGCUCAAGAUCGAGCUGUAGAACAUGACUCGUGCUCAGCUUGUACCGAUCUCGAAUCGAUCUCGAGCUAGUUUCGAGCUAAAUAAAAUGGUAAAAAUUACAAAGCUAUGAUGAUUAUUCAGACUAGAUAAGGACACAACACGACACAACUUUGUACGUCAGUCUCGUCAUGCUCGGGAGAGCUCCGAGCACAUCUUUGUCUCUUGGGCGAACUAGAAAUAGAUGGUGGUCUUCGUGGACGAAAAACAAGAAAAAGAAGGUGCAUAUGAUGGGAUUUUUUUUCAAAAGAGGAUAUUUAACACAUAGCCGAUCACGUACCAUAAUUAGACCUAAAUCUUCUCUACACUUAAUUAAGCUACCAUUCUGGCUAGUUAAUAAAAUGGAGAAAAAUCAUGGACAUCAUAUAUUGUAACAAAUUAUCUUAUUUUCAUUUAAUAUAUGGCAUAAUCAUUGAACAUUAUGGUAUUAUGUCGAGCUAUCGAGCUAAAAUCGAGCGAGCCAAUAUUGGCUCAAGAUCGGCUCGUUUCUCCAUCGUGCUACAUAAAGUGUUCAAACUCGGUUAAUUUAUUUUUGAGUCGAUCUCGAGUCGAGCCAAAAAACGAGUCGAUCUCGAGUGGCUUACGAGCCUCGAGCUUUUCUUGCAGCCCUAUUCCUAACAUGCCAACAACGCCAUAGUGUAAACAGUGGCAUGCAACAUACUCCCUCCGUUCCAAAAUAGAUGACCCAACUUUGUACUAACUGACACAACUUUGUACUAAAGUUAGUACAAAGUUGAGUCAUCUAUUUUGGAACGGAGGGAUUACAUUUUAAGACAAAGGUUGCAACGCAUGAAGCAGCCAUUCUGGACCAUUGUGAUGUACAUCUCCCAGAUUUUGCAAUGGCCAAAUAGUACUCAUACAGCUCCUCAAAUUAACUGAAUUUUGGCAUCUACGCAACGCAUGGAAGGUGUGCUCCGGCUCUCUCUGGCAGAUCGGACACAGAUCUGAUCCCUCCAAACAUCUCUUCUUCUUAUUAGGACAUGUUGGGAGUGAGUUUGUUGCCACGCGCCAUGCAAAAAAUUUAACAGUCGGGGGUACAUUUGUUUUCCACAUAAAAUCCCAACACCUCCUUGUACCAUCAGGAGAAGAACUUGAUGCUGAUUCAGACGACCUAACAGACUAUCAAAAGGAAACUUAUAGGCCGAUCGUACCGAGAAAGGUCCUAGACGCCCCGGACCCCAAGCAAUAGUAUCAUCCUGCUGCCUUGGUGAAGCCCGAACUUUCAAGAUCUCCUCAACGUCACAAGGGUAGACGUAGAUCUCCAGCAGAUUUACCUUCCAAUAACCAUUAGGAUUUAACAAGUCAGAAACAAAACGGAACCUGCACACGCCUUGCGGAGAUAUAGGUUUAUAUGAAUGCGGCCUUGGUAUCCAGCUGCCACGUCAUAUUUGAAUGCUCCUACCAUUGCCAACUCUCCAUAUCAAUCCCUUCUUCAACGGUUGUAGACCAUAGCUAAUAGCUUGCCAAGACGAAGAGGGAUUACCCAAAAAAAACUGUGUCCUCAAGUUUCCCGUUUGGAUAGUUCCUUUUUUUUAGAAAAGGAGGAUGACCCCGGCCUCUGGGUGAUGCAUACGGCCACUUUAUUAAUUAUUCUCACAAGACCUUACAAAAUCAAUACAACUGUAAGACUAAAGCCGCCGUCUAAGCAACAAACUGUCGCUACACCUAUCUAGUUGAUGAAGGGGCGCAGAUAGCCUGGGCCUAAUACCAAACAGACAUCGCAGUCAAGCCUAACAUCUAAGACCUGAGACUCCAACCUAGCCACUUGCCGGGUCUGAGGAAAACACUGGUCCGGCGUGCUCUCAGAGGCCGCCGCCGCCAACUGCCACCGCUCCAUCUUCAGAACUGUACUGAUGCAUCAACCUUGCUUUCGAAAUCUGAGCACAUAAACUGUCAGGCUUGUCUAGAAGUCUCCAUGCUUGCCUAUGUUAGCAUUAAUCUUGAGCAGUUUAGUAGAUGUCUGUACUAGUCUAGCACUAGUCUAGCUAGCUGGUUGAGUUGGAGUCUUAAGUAGACUAGAUUUAGGUUAAUCGUGAUCAAGGUUGCCGGUAAUUAGAAGUUUGGUAGUAGAAGUCUAAUUGAGUCCGGCUAGGACUUUGUGUACGUGUAGGUUAGCUUUUAGAGUCCGAGUCUAUUUAGGUUAGCUCUGUGUACACGACCACCUGAGUAUAUAUACACGGCUAGGCUGUGAGAUUGUAACCGUGGGAUUAUUGGGAGGAAUAAAGAAAAAGAGGGCACGACAAGGGCCCUUGGCUAUCAAUUUUUUGUGCACAUGUGUUCGUGCAGUUUGAUGUGAUCGAUCCUGAGAGCGAAGUUCCAACAGCCUAGCUAAUAAAGCUUGGUUGAACAAAUGAAAAUCACNNNNNNNNNNNNNNNNNNNNNNNNNNNNNNNNNNNNNNNNNNNNNNNNNNNNNNNNNNNNNNNNNNNNNNNNNNNNNNNNNNNNNNNNNNNNNNNNNNNNNNNNNNNNNNNNNNNNNNNNNNNNNNNNNNNNNNNNNNNNNNNNNNNNNNNNNNNNNNNNNNNNNNNNNNNNNNNNNNNNNNNNNNNNNNNNNNNNNNNNNNNNNNNNNNNNNNNNNNNNNNNNNNNNNNNNNNNNNNNNNUGGCUGAUGCAGUUCAUUGGAAAUCCUGGUUUGUUCUCUUGUUUGUUCUCUCAAUCAUGAGCUAACAAUUAUCGCAAUUCUUUUUGUUGUCAACCGAUAUUUUCAUUGGUUAACUAAAUAGAAAAGUAUAUCAAAUCAUGAAUAUCGAAAUAAAUACUAGCAGCAAAGACCCACUAUACUUACCAUGCUCACUGAAACAAGGGAUGAACUGGAAAAGAAAUUACAUAUACA